UCUCUGAUUCAGCGGCGGACGGGUGAGUAAUGCCUAGGAAUCUGCCUGGUAGUGGGGGACAACGUCUCGAAAGGGACGCUAAUACCGCAUACGUCCUACGGGAGAAAGCAGGGGACCUUCGGGCCUUGCGCUAUCAGAUGAGCCUAGGUCGGAUUAGCUAGUUGGUGAGGUAAUGGCUCACCAAGGCGACGAUCCGUAACUGGUCUGAGAGGAUGAUCAGUCACACUGGAACUGAGACACGGUCCAGACUCCUACGGGAGGCAGCAGUGGGGAAUAUUGGACAAUGGGCGAAAGCCUGAUCCAGCCAUGCCGCGUGUGUGAAGAAGGUCUUCGGAUUGUAAAGCACUUUAAGUUGGGAGGAAGGGCAGUAACUUAAUACGUUGCUGUUUUGACGUUACCGACAGAAUAAGCACCGGCUAACUCUGUGCCAGCAGCCGCGGUAAUACAGAGGGUGCAAGCGUUAAUCGGAAUUACUGGGCGUAAAGCGCGCGUAGGUGGUUUG
rnacentral:rRNA from 1 species